rnacentral:rRNA from 1 species
UAGGGAAUCUUCGGCAAUGGACGAAAGUCUGACCGAGCAACGCCGCGUGAGUGAAGAAAGUUUUCGGAUCGUAAAACUCUGUUGUUAGAGAAGAACAAGGACGUUAGUAACUGAACGUCCCCUGACGGUAUCUAACCAGAAAGCCACGGCUAACUACGUGCCAGCAGCCGCGGUAAUACGUAGGUGGCAAGCGUUGUCCGGAUUUAUUGGGCGUAAAGCGAGCGCAGGCGGUUUCUUAAGUCUGAUGUGAAAGCCCCCGGCUCAAACGUGGAAGGUCAUUGGAAGCUGGGAGACUUGAGUGCAGAAGAGGAGAGUGGAAUUCCAUGUGUAGCGGUGAAAUGCGUAGAUAUAUGGAGGAACACCAGUGGCGAAGGCGGCUCUCUGGUCUGUAACUGACGCUGAGGCUCGAAAGCGUGGGGAGCAAACAGG